rnacentral:rRNA from 1 species
UACGUAGGGUGCAAGCGUUGCCCGGAUUUAUUGGGCGUAAAGCGCGCGCAGGCGGUGAGGUAAGUCCGUCGUGAAAUCUCCCGGCUCAACUGGGAGGGUGCGGGGGAGACUGCCUGACUGGAGGCACUCAGAGGCCAGUGGAAUUCCCGGUGGAGUGGUGAAAUGCGUAGAGAUCGGGAGGAACACCAGUGGCGAAGGCGGCCGGCUGGGGGUGACCUGACGCUGAGGCGCGAAAGCGUGGGGAGCGAACCGG